rnacentral:ncRNA from 1 species
UUUGAUAAAGGUAAACCCUGAGUGAUCAGGGGGCGCAAAGUAAAGGGUCUUGCGAUCCGUUUAAACAGUUUAAACCGCUUAAACCGUUCAAACGGCUUUGAAAAAGACAGCCUUACUGCCGAAG